GGGGUUAUAGUUUAAUCUAAACCGUAAAGCUGUUAACUUUAAAAUGCCACUCCAAUGGCUUACCCCU
rnacentral:tRNA from 1 species